UAUUAAUAUUUGGAUGCUGUGGUGUUGUAAUCAGUAUUGGUCAUUCCAAAUAAAUUAAUCAAAUGUGUGUGUGUGUGUGUGUGUGUGUGUGUGUGUGUGUGUGUGUGUGUGUGUGUGUGUGUGUGUGUGUGUGUGUGUGUGUGUG